CACGGUCCAGACUCUACGGGAGGCAGCAGUGAGGAAUAUUGGCAAUGGAGGAAACUCUGACCCAGCAUGCCGCGUGAGUGAAGAAGGUUUUCGAAUUGUAAAGCUCUUUCGGAUGGGACGAUGAUGACGGUACCAUCUAAAGAAGCCCCGGCAAACUUCGUGCCAGCAGCCGCGGUAAUACGAAGGGGGCAAGCGUUGUUCGGAAUUACUGGGCGUAAAGGGUGUGUAGGCGGAUUUGUAAGAUAGUGGUGAAAUACCUGAGCUCAACUUAGGAAUUGCCAUUAUAACUAUAGAUCUGGAGUGACAGAGAGGAUAUUGGAAUACCCAGUGUAGAGGUGAAAUUCGUAGAUAUUGGGUAGAACACCAGUGGCGAAGGCGAGUAUCUGGCUGUCAACUGACGCUGAGGCACGAAAGCAUGGGGAUCAAACAGGAUUAGAUACCCUGGUAGUCCAUGCUGUAAACGAUGAAUGCUAGUUGUCGGCAAAAGCCGGUGACGC
rnacentral:rRNA from 1 species